AUAUCUCUCUGUACGGGAAGGAUGAGAAGCUUCUACCAGGGUUCGAUUCGAGCGCAGCGAGAAAGCGUU
rnacentral:sRNA from 5 species